UUGACUAAAAACUAUCAAGUUUGUAAAGCGCCCAAUUCAGCUCAUUUAAACUCGACUAUGACAGUGUUGGCCCACAUGCAAGACUGAAAAAGUCACUAGCGUUAAGUUUGACCAUCAACAUAUGAGGCCCACGUGUCAUUUAUAUCUCCUUCCUUUAAAAUUCCCCUCCUUCCUCUAAAAUUCCCCAUGGAGGAAGACCAAGGUAGUCACCGGCGCCGGCGGUGGAUGAUGAAACGAGGGACGACGGAGACCAACCGUCGCCGGCCGCUUGGGCGACACCAGCUCCUCCAUUGGCGCCAGCCGCAGGUCACACGGGUCAUCGAAGAAAGAGAUCGAGGCAGCGACGAACUUCAUCAAAGGCGGAGAAGAUGAAGUACGGCGGCAACGUGGCCGCAUCUAGAGGAGACGACGCGACCUGCAGGCGAGGCCUCCCAGCGACGCGACCGGCCAGGCGGCGUCGUGGGGCCUCCCUGCGGCGGCGACCUCAGGCGGCACCUGGGCCUCCACGCAGCACGACCUGCAGGCAAGGCGAGCCACCGGACGACGCCCUGGUGCCUUCCUGCAACAGUCUCCCAACGCCCGGGCGGCGCUCUUCGUCGGUGAAUCCGCCAAUGUACGAUCUAUACAAAGUUAACGGAGUUGAUUACUGUGCCACGUCAACACUUACAUGUGAGCCAACCCUAUGAUAAUCGAGUUUAAAUGAGAUGAAUCG
rnacentral:lncRNA from 1 species